rnacentral:rRNA from 1 species
GACGUAGGAUCCGAGCGUUGUCCGGAGUUACUGGGCGUAAAGCGCGCGCAGGCGGACCGAUACAUCGGCGGUGAAAGCCCCCGCUCAACGGGGGAGGGUCCGUCGAGAUGGUCGGUCUGGAGGCAGGGAGAGGCCAGUGGAAUUCCGGGUGUAGUGGUGAAAUGCGUAGAGAUCCGGAGGAACACCAGUGGCGAAGGCGGCUGGCUGGACCUGACCUGACGCUGAGGCGACG